GCUAACAAAAAUUUAUAAUAAUCCUUUUCUUUAACAUCAAUUUAAUAAAAUGAUGUUAUUUUAUUUUAAUUUGUUUAAAAUAUUUGAGCUAGUAAAAAAAUUAAUUUAUAUCCAGAACAAAAUUUGUAAAAUUACAAUAUUAUCAUAGAUUAAACACAUAAUUAUUAAAAAGUAGCAAAUGUGAUUUGUUACAGUCCCCCAAAAAUAGGAACCACCAUUACAAGUUCAAAUACAGUAAACCACUUAAACCCAAUGUGAUUACGAGAAGUAGUUAUUAUUCUUUUCUGUGAAGAUCUUCUUAUUCGUCACACUCUCUCAAAUCUCUUUCAUCAGUUUUUUUUUGUUCUCUGUUAUUUGAUUAAAAGCAUUUUCUCAACAUGAAUCAAGUAUUCUUAUAUGAAUCAUGAUGAUUAUGUUUGUGUUUCUGUUUAUAGAAGAUUUGAAAGGAAGAUUUUGCUUUUCAUAAAAAUCUGAUGAAAAAUUCUUGAGAGGGAUCUGAAGGAAAUGAUGAUGAUACAGGAAAUUUCUAGGGUUCUUGGUAUAUUGAAGGUUUCAGCAGCAAUUGGAUUUGAUCAUGUUUCUUUGUUGUCUGCUACUUAGGAGUAACAAGCUCCACGCCAUUUCAUCAUUUUCCAUGGCCAAUUGAAGACAAAAUGAAGAAGAAGAAAAAGAAUUUAUUGAAGAAACUGCUAUGGCCAAUUCUUUUAACUAUAUUAACAAGUUGUUUUCUUUCUUUGAAUUCAUUUUCCAGUCUUAUUUGUGAGGCUUCUCCUUUUCUUCUUCCUUCAAUUUUCACAGGAACAAAAAAUAAGAAA